rnacentral:rRNA from 1 species
CUGGUUGAUCCUGCCAGUAGUCAUAUGCUUGUCUCAAAGAUUAAGCCAUGCAUGUCUAAGUCCAAGCUGUGUUCACACGGCGAGACCGCGGACGGCUCAUUAAAUCAGUCGUGGUCCAAAUGGGCCAGUGCAAAUCCUACUUGGAUAACUGUGGUAAUUCCAGAGCUAAUACAUGCAACUGAUAUCCCGAAGGCGGUGUUUGUGCUUGCUUGUCUUGCGCUUUCACUGCUCUGACGGAUGCUUUUAUUAGACCAAGCCGCUGAGGACUUGAGGGUUCGCGCUCUCUUGUUUGACUCGUGUGAUGGUGACUCUGGAUAACCAAAAUUUCUGACAAGCGCACGUACUUCUCUUCUGAGCGAGACGGCGCUGCCACUUUCGAGUGUCUGCCUUAUCAGCUAUCAACCGUUCGUUAUGCGCGACCGAUGGCUUUGACGGGUAACGGGGAAUCAGGGUUCGAUUCCGGAGAGGCAGCCUGAGAGACGGCUACCACGUCCAAGGACGGCAGCAGGCACGCAAAUUACCCAAUCCCAGCAAAUGGGGGAGGUAGUGACGAAAUCUAACGAUGCGGGCGCCCUUUCUGGGGCCCCGCAAUCGGAAUGGGCACUUUCUAAACAACCUGUUGAGAACCUACUGAAGGGCAAGUCUGGUGCCAGCAGCCGCG